GUCUGUUUGGAGUUAUAAAGAGUCUAGCCUGCCCACUGAUUAAUAUUUAAGGGCCGCAGUAUUAUAACUGUGCAAAGGUAGCAUAAUCAUUAGGUUCUUAAUUGGAAUCUUGAAUGAAUGGUUGGACAAAAGAAGUACUGUCUUUAUGUUAAAUUUUGAAUUUAACUUUUAAGUGAAAAGGCUUAAAUAUUCUAAAGGGACGAUAAGACCCUAUAAAACUUUACAUUAAGGUUAAAUUUAGUUAAAUUUAAUUAUAAAGAUUUAAUUUAAUUAUUUGUUGUAUUGGGGAGAUAUAGGUAAACCUUUUAUUAACUGCUUACUGAUCAAACAUUUACUAAUGAAAAGUAAUGGAUCCUUGUUAAAGAUUGUUGAAUUAAGUUACUUUAGGGAUAACAGCGUUAUUUUUUUUGAGAGUUCAUAUCGAAAAAAAAGAUUGCGACCUCGAUGUUGAAUUAAAAUAUCUGUAUAAUGGAGCGGUUAUACAAGAGGGCCUGUUCGGCCUUUAAAAUUUUACAUGAUUUGAGUUCAAACCGGCGUGA
rnacentral:rRNA from 1 species